GGAGGGACGCGCGCGUGCAUCUAGGAGUAACUCCCCGGCGGCCCGCGAGGGGGUGAUCGCGACGCAGCCGCAGAACAGACCCCGCCGAGCGUCUGCGCCAUGGCAUGCCCAAUGCGCUUGCGUCAAGAGGAACGGACAGACCCCUCGUCAUGCUGAAGCCUAGAAAUUCUUCUGGUCUGGAAUUCCGGAGCUGCUCCCCGCUGCUUUGUGCCUAGCUGCCAGAGAUGAUUUUAGAGGCCCCCUUGCUUUCACUCCGAGAGAACCCCUUCCUCUCCGCCAAAUCUAAGUGAUCAGGAUCAACACAGUGUUUUCCCUUAGAGCUGGCUGAAGUUGGUCUUCCCCCCACCUCCAUCAGUAUUUUUGAAAACAAGGUUUUGUUGUAAAU